rnacentral:rRNA from 1 species
AUUGAACGCUGGCGGCAGGCCUAACACAUGCAAGUCGAGCGAGCGGCGGACGGGUGAGUAAUGUAUGGGGACUGCCCGAUAGAGGGGGAUAACUACUGGAAACGGUGGCUAAUACCGCAUACUAUCGGAUAACCCAUAUGGGAUUAGCUAGUAGGUGGGGUAAAGGCUCACCUAGGCGACGAUCCCUAGCUGGUCUGAGAGGAGGAACAGCCACACGGGAACGGGGACACGGCCCGGACUCCUACGGGGGCAGCAGUGGGGAAUAUUGCACAAUGGGCGCAAGCCUGAUGCGGCCAUGCCGGGUGGAUGAGGAAGGCCUUAGGGUUGUAAGUUACGUUCAGCGGGGAGGCGUUACCCGAAGAGGAAGCACCGGCUAACUCCGUGCCAGCAGCCGCGGUAAUAC